GUAGUUGAUCCGUGGCUACAGAACGACGCUGGCGGCAGGCCUAACACAUGCAAGUCGAGCGAACCCUUCGGGGUUAGCGGCAGACGGGUGAGUAACGCGUGGGAACCUACCCAGUGGUACGGAAUAGCCCAGGGAAACUUGGGGUAAUACCGUAUACGCCCGAGAGGGGAAAGAUUUAUCGCCAUUGGAUGGGCCCGCGUCGGAUUAGCUAGUUGGUGGGGUAACGGCCUACCAAGGCGACGAUCCGUAGCUGGUCUGAGAGGAUGAUCAGCCACACUGGGACUGAGACACGGCCCAGACUCCUACGGGAGGCAGCAGUGGGGAAUCUUGGACAAUGGGCGAAAGCCUGAUCCAGCCAUGCCGCGUGAGUGACGAAGGUCUUCGGAUUGUAAAGCUCUUUUGGCGGGGAAGAUAAUGACGGUACCCGCAGAAUAAGCCCCGGCUAACUUCGUG
rnacentral:rRNA from 1 species